rnacentral:rRNA from 1 species
AGUGAACGCUGGCGGUAGGCCUAACACAUGCAAGUCGAACGGCAGCACAGGAGAGCUAGCUCUCUGGGUGGCGAGUGGCGGACGGGUGAGGAAUACAUCGGAAUCUACCUUUUCGUGGGGGAUAACGUAGGGAAACUUACGCUAAUACCGCAUACGACCUACGGGUGAAAGUGGGGGACCGCAAGGCCUCACGCGAUUAG